rnacentral:lncRNA from 1 species
UUUUUUUUUUUUUUGUCUUUUUGCCUUUUUCUAGGGCUGCUCUUGCAGCCUAUGGAGGUUCCCAGGCUAGGGGUCUAAUCAGAGCUGUAACCACCGGCCUACACCAGAGCCACAGCAAGGGAUCUGAGCCGUGUCUGCGACCUAUACCACAGUUCAUGGCAAUACCGGAUCCUUAACCCACUGAGCAAGGGCAGGGAUCAAACCCGCAACCUCAUGGUUCCUAGUCGGAUUUGUUAACCACUGUGCCACGACGGGAACUCCUGUCUCACUAUUUCAUAUACCUCAUGUAAGUGGUAUCGUGCAAUAUUAGUCUUUCGGUGACUGGCUCCUUUCACUUCGCUUAAUGUCUUCAAGGGUCAUCCAUGUUUUGAAUAUGCCAGGUUUGCCUUCUUUUUUUUUUUUUUUGAUGCUGAAUAACAUACAGCAUUUUGACAGUGAUGAGAGAGAAAUGGGCAUUUUCUUUUCUCUUAUAUAUUUAAUAAUUUUUAAUUUAAAAUGGUAUAUAUAAUUUAUGUCAACUAGGAAACUUAGAAAAUUCAAAUAAAUCCAAAAGAGGGGAAAAAAGUGAACCACCCAUAAGUUGGACCACAGAGGUAUUUAGAGACCAUUCCAGAAUGUCUUCUAGGUAUUCGUAAUUUUUUAAGUAUGUAAUGCAUAUUGCUUUAUAACCUGCUUUUUUGCCCUUAAUUAUAUUUUGGAUUUAUUUUUCCACAUUAGUGAGUACCUACAACCAGUCACUACAACAGCUGCAUGGUAUUCCGCUGCAUGGAAUAAAAACUCUAGGCGGUUUCCAAUUGUCUGCUAUUGCCAGCAACCUUGUGAUCCUCAGUGCUGAAAUAACCACAAGGCAAAGCUCUAUUAGCCUUAUUGUCUAAUUUCUGUCCCCACUCCUGAAUCCCUUGCUUGUCCCUAUUAUAAAUAAUUAAAAUGUUUUCCAGUUAAACCUGCCUAAUUACAUAUUAAUGGUUCCAAGUCAAAAGAUCAUUGCUGAGCUUAAUUACAACAGAGCCACUUGUUCGCAAAAACCCAACCCUUUUUUCAUAUCAGAAACACCACCGUGAUCUACAGACUGAACUUUACAGACUAGAAUGAUCUUCUACAACAAACAGAUGUCAAUGGGUUCUCCCUUGAUAAGGCAGAAACGACAUCAUACCUAAUGAUUCAGACAGAGGAAAAUGAGUUCCAUAGUAAGGGAAUCUGCUUGUGAAAACAGUUUUAAAAUCAUGAGUGAUGUUGCAAAGUGGACAGGACAUGAGACCAAGGCAGACAAAAUGAGGUUAACAUUGGUACUGACCCCCCCCCUUAUUUUUUUGUAUUUUUAGGGCCAUACCUGUGGCACAUGGAGGUUUCCAGGCUAGGGGUUGAAUCAGAGCUGUAGCUGCCAGCCUACACCACAGCAACAGCAAUGCCAGAUUCGAGCCACACCCAAGACCUACACCACAGCUCACAGAAACACUGAUCCUUAACCCAUUGAGGGAGGCCAGGGAUCAAACCUGCCUCCUCAAGGAUACUAGUCAGAUUUGUUUCCACUGAACCAUGACAGGAACUCCUGGCACUGACUCUUAUUUGCUGUGUUCUCUUGAGCAACCUGAAUUAACUUCUCUGACCCCCAAGCUGUUUAUCUAUAAAAUAGUUAUUAAUACCUACUGCAGAGUUGUGGUAGGGAUUAAAAUGAUGAUAGAUGACUCCAAUGUUUUAUUUAUUUGACAAAUGAAUAGAUGAGGAGAGUAAUUCCAUUCUUCCCAUUCAAGGAAGCGACAGAAGGACACCAGGAGGGACUGCCCCUUCUUGAACAUUAAGACACAGAGAACAGCUACAGUCAGAUCUCUCUCCAACUUGAAAGAAACCAUCUCUUAGUCCAACUCUGCCUUUGAUAUCUCAGGCCAUAGCAUUCUCCAUUAAUAAGGUGGCCAAAGAAUUUACAUCCAGAGUUCCCAUUAUGGCUCGGUGGGUUAAAAACCCGACUAGUAUCCAUGAGGAUGUGGGUUCAAUCCCUGGCCUCACAGUGGGUUAAGGAUCUGGUAUUGCCAUGAGCUGCGGCAUAGGUUGCAGACAUGGCUCAGAUCUGGUGUUGCUGUGGCUGUGGCAUAGGCUGGCAGCUGCCACUCCAAUUCGACCCCUAGCCUAGGAACUUCCAUAUGCUGCAGGUGAGGCCCUAAAAAGUAAAAGAAAAAGAAUUUAUAUCCACACUGGGACACUUUUGAGACUUAACUGGGGCACUAUAAAUAGUUAGCAGGGACAGCAGGUACAAACUUGAACUCUCCCAGGCAGAGGGGUAACCCUGGUAUUAACUGCAUAAUGACCAGUCUACAUGGAGCAAGUAGAAAAACCAGGUCAUUUCAUUCCAAAGAACUCAUCCAGGAGUUUUCACUGUGACUGAAUGAGUUAAAAAUCUGACUGCAGUGACAUGAGUCACUGUAGAGGUGCAAGUUCAAACCCCGGCCCCAUAUGGUGGGUUAAAAGAUCUGGCAUUGCUGUAGCUACAGUGUAGGUCACAGCAACACCAGAUCCUUUAACCCAUCACACUGGGCCAGAGAUCAAACCUACACAUCUGCGGCAACCCAAGCCACUGCAGUAGGAUUCUUAACCCACUGUGCCACAGCAGGAAUGCCCCAUUUGAUUUUUUUACACAUCCAUUAUAUGCCAAGCCCUAGCCUAAAAUUACAGGAACUAGAGAGAUGGCUGUGCCAUAGUCUCUGCUUUCAAAAAACAGUUAAAUCAAGAUUAACAAAGAAGCUAUUGAUGAAAAACGUACAAAAUGAAAAAUUCCAUAUUGUGUGUGCAAAGCACCAUGGGCCACAGAGAAGAGGGUGACUGACUUCCUGAGAUGUGUUCACAGAAGUGGUACUAUUUGAGGCAUCUCAAGUGAUAUUUUCUAAGUGUGGGGAGUAAGUUCUAGGUCCAAAUCUAAGGACGUCUGAGAGUGUGGAAUGUGUAAAGAGCUGCCCAAGGUCCAGUAUGGCUGGAGCCUGCUCUGAAACAGGGAGAGGGGUUGGCCUCCAAACUCUCUCUGAGCUCCUACAACCCUCUCCAGCAGUGGAAAUCUCUGCUGUGUAAUCUUCUAGCUCCUGCCUUCUCUCUAACAGAACUCCCAAAGCCCCAGAACUUCUUGCAAAGCUCCCACAUAUUUUCUUUGAAUGUCUUUAACAAUAAUGUUACUGUCUUUCUCAAUUUCUUAAAGUGUGUAGGUGUGCAUGUGGAAAUGUGGUGUCACAUGUCCAUUAUGCCAGAUUCUUGCCAUGAUUCUGUACCAGUGAAAGCUUGAUGAAUAGAUGCCAGCUUCUGACUUUUAAAGCACCUUAAGUGAUAUGUUUUCAAAAGAGCAUCUUCUUACAGUAUUCCAAACCAUUCAAUUCAUACGAGGAACCCACAUGAGACCGAGACGCACCCUAGACUGAGUUUACAUCCUUUUAAACAAGUUUUUCUACUAUCGUUUCUGUAGGGUAUAAAAAAAAAAUCAAUGUGAUUCUAAAUAAUUCUGACCUCUUUAGAAGGCAACACAUGUUGCAUUUGAUUCAAAACAAUUCUUGUGUU